GCGUUGCUCGGAAUGACUGGGCGUAAAGGGCGCGUAGGCUGCUCGAUUUGUCAGACUUGAAAGUCCUGGGCUCAACCUGGGGAUGGCGUUUGGGACGGUAGGGCUAGAGUGGGGAAGAGGGUCGUGGAAUUCCCAGUGGAGAGGGGAAAUGCGUAGAUAUUGGGAAGAACAAGGGUGGCGAAGGCGGCGACCUGGUCCUUGACUGACGCUGAGGCGCGAGAGCGUG
rnacentral:rRNA from 1 species